UACGAAGGGGGCUAGCGUUGUUCGGAAUUACUGGGCGUAAAGCGCACGCAGGCGGAUUGAUAAGUCAGGGGUGAAAUCCCGGGGCUCAACCUCGGAAUUGCCUUUGAUACUGUCUGUCUUCGAGUUCGGGAGAGGUUGGCGGAAUUCCUAGUGUAGAGGUGAAAAUUCGUAGAUAUUAGGAAGAACACCAGUGGCGAAGGCGGCCAACUGGCCCGAUACUGACGCUCAUGUGCGAAAGCGUGGGGAGCAACAGGAU
rnacentral:rRNA from 1 species